rnacentral:rRNA from 1 species
GAUGAACGCUAGCGGCAGGCCUAAUACAUGCAAGUCGAACGGGAUCCAGAUCAAAGCUUGCUUUGGUCUGGUGAGAGUGGCGCACGGGUGCGUAACGCGUGAGCAACCUACCCUUGUCAGGGGGAUAGCCCGGCGAAAGUCGGAUUAAUACCGCAUGACAUCAUUGAGAGGCAUCUUUCGAUGAUCAAAGAUUUAUCGGACAAGGAUGGGCUCGCGUGACAUUAGCUAGUUGGUAAGGUAACGGCUUACCAAGGCUGCGAUGUCUAGGGGCUCUGAGAGGAGAAUCCCCCACACUGGUACUGAGGCACGGACCAGACUCCUACGGGAGGCAGCAGUAAGGAAUAUUGGUCAAUGGACGGAAGUCUGAACCAGCCAUGCCGCGUGCAGGAAGACGGCCCUAUGGGUUGUAAACUGCUUUUAUACGGGAACAAACGUCGGUACGUGUACCGGUCUGAGUGUACCGUAAGAAUAAGGAUCGGCUAACUCCGUG